CCAAGAACACCAUAUUCUUCAUCUUUCACUUAACAAUUUCAGAAGAACAAAGAUCCUUCUUCAUUGCUCCUACCAACAUUAAGUUAUUCCUCAUCUCAAUCAUCAAUAUCACAACAGUCAACCAACACAAAUAUUCUCAAGGUAUUACUGUUGUACCACAUAUUCAAUCCAGUUUGCAUUCAUACCAUUAAGCAUGAUCCGAUUCAAAUGAUAGAUGGCAAUAAGCUUGAUAAACUUAGCAAAGUUACAUACUCUAUAUGAAAUAGCAUUAGUUACUUUCCUGUUGUAUUCAUAUCUAUAGAGCUCAUAACAAACCACAUAUGCGAACUCAUGAUUUAUGGCAUUUCACGAAAGUAGUAUGAUUCAUACAUUGAGAUAUUACCACUGUACAACCAAAGCCAUAAGAGCUCCCAUCAUGUAGCAACAUGAAUCGAAAUACAAUAGCAGAGAAUCGAACUUAGCUUUGGGAAAAUGGGCCGACUGCCCAAGCAACUGCCGAGCCUAACUGCCGGAGAAAGAGAAGGGCGACUGUCCUUGGCGGUGGCAGCCUCUGGCUUGCUACCUGCCGGACGAACACAGUGAGGAGAGCACGGAGAUCUAGCCGAUUCUAGAACCCGGCGGCGGCGGCAAAGGUGCUAGCGAGACUUGAAGGCGACAGCUACGGCGUUAACCAACUAGAGGGGAAGAAGCUGACCGACUCCAGAAAUCGGAGCAACGCCGGGAACAGCGAUAGCAACGGCGAAGCCGGCCUUCCAGUAGCAGCAGCGGUGUCGGGGCUCGGCGGAAAUCAGUGACAGCACGGCGGCGCUGGAAGGCUUAAGCAGCGGGCGGCGGCAGCGCUCCUCCAGCAGGCGCUGACCACCGGACGAGCAGCAGCAACUCCAGCCGGCGGCGACUCCAGGCGAAGCAGCAGCCACUUCCACGCGACGACCGCCCGCCGGAUUCCAGACGGAGGCGCGACCGCGACGAUGAUUUCCAGAAUUAGGGCUCAAUUCUACACGAAGAGUGUUGGAAGUGAGAAAUUGAGAGAGAGAGAAUGGGGUGGCGAGCGUCAGACUCAGGAUUGCGGCCGUUCGCAGACGACGGCCGUUCGCCGAAUUGCGGAGCGGCGACGGUGGAUCGGCCGGAGGCAGAUCGAGUGAGAAGGGAGAGAGAGAGUGCCGAUUUUGGGCAUUGAGAGAGAGAGAGACCGAGUGGUGUAAGGGAUUGGGCUUUCCCUUUUUAUUGUUGUUGGGCCUUCCUUUGUUUUGUAGUUGGGCCUUAUUCAUUUUAAUGUGUGGGCCUCAUCCUUAAUUAAUUAUUUGGGCUGGCUUA